AGGAGCAGUGACAGGAAUCGCUGGGUAGUGGUGGGGAGGGCAGGCGGCUGCAGUGUUUUGGCCGGCGCUGGUCAGUCUUGCCCCACACACUCUGGUAAUAAGUUUUUUCGUAUUACCGGCAGCUUCUCCCUGUACCAGGCACCGUCACGCAGCACCAGAGAGCCAUGAGUACGUAAGGGGUCAAUUUCAAAAUGAAAUACGUUACGUACGUAAGCCAGCGGCCUGGGGGGAACUCGCCUGUGACGUCAUCAACGGCCAGGGACUUGCCGGGCUCCAGUGUCUCUUGCCUUCCAGUGACACCCCAAGGCAGCAGCUGUUAUGUGGACCUUGGGCAAGUGGGAGGACGUGAAGGAAUGGAGGAGAGAGAAGAGAGGAGUGAAGGAGAAGAAAGAGAGAGGGAAGGAGAGCUGUGGAGGAGAGGUCAAGGUGUACCAUCUUCACCUUCGUGUAGACACGGAAAGGAAAGAAGUAAGGAAAGGAAGAAAGAAGGAAGAAAGGAAGACCAAGAAAUGAUAAGCAGUGCGUGAGACAGGUGCGCAAUUACCAGCGGUGACUCAUUGUACCUGGUCUUUUGUUGCUGUUUUCCCUGGUAUGAUGAAUGGGGCUCCUUUGUUGUGCAUGGCGGAUUGUUAACUUACUAACACCUGGAUUUGCUAGUGAAGUGUCGUGGGUUGAAGUAAAUAAAUAUACGUGUGAUUUAACUGUUUCUUUAUUGUAAAAAGGAAUGAUAAUUGAUAGGUAAUUUUAGACGAUAGUUAUUAAGAAGCCUGCCUCACUUUGACUUCCUAAUGCAGUGUUGUGUUUAGAAAGUAAUUAAAUGAAUAUAUGUAAAUGUUUUUCAUGAUAUUUCUCAAUGGAGUAAUGAUAAUGGCGAUUUAAAAGUGGAACUGUUAACUUAUUUUUGUAUUACUUGGAUUUGUUGGUAGUGUGUUAGUGAGUGUUGAAGUAAGUACUGGUAGUGUGUCGUGCUUCUAAGUGAAUAAUUAAAGAUACGUAAGUAAUUUCACGAUCUCGUUCCCAUUAAAAAAAAUAAUAAAAGUAAUAAUGAUUUAUAAGUGGAAUUGUUAACUUACCUUAGCGUUACCUGGACUUGCUGGUACAGUGAAGAAAAUAAACAAACAAACAAACAAACAAAUAAA